GACGAACGCUGGCGGCGUGCUUAACACAUGCAAGUCGAACGGAAAGGCCCUGCUUUUGUGGGGUGCUCGAGUGGCGAACGGGUGAGUAACACGUGAGUAACCUGCCCUUGACUUUGGGAUAACUUCAGGAAACUGGGGCUAAUACCGGAUAGGAGCUCCUGCUGCAUGGUGGGGGUUGGAAAGUUUCGGCGGUUGGGGAUGGACUCGCGGCUUAUCAGCUUGUUGGUGGGGUAGUGGCUCACCAAGGCUUUGACGGGUAGCCGGCCUGAGAGGGUGGCCGGCCACAUUGGGACUGAGAUACGGCCCAGACUCCUACGGGAGGCAGCAGUGGGGAAUAUUGCACAAUGGGCGGAAGCCUGAUGCAGCAACGCCGCGUGCGGGAUGACGGCCUUCGGGUUGUAAACCGCUUUCGCCUGUGACGAAGCGUGAGCGACGGUAAUGGGUAAAGAAGCACCGGCUAACUACGUG
rnacentral:rRNA from 1 species